CAAGGGUAAUACUGCCUUUUCAUCUAACUUUUUUUAGCUUCACUUGGAUUAUAUUGACCACUUUGAAAAAUCUGGCAAUCACCGUUCUUUACACGCUCUUCUUUGGCUUCUCAGUUCUCACUCUUCUUCUUCUUAUCGAUACCAGGCAGACAACAACAAUAACAACUACCAUUAUACUUCCAUCAGAUGGAAUCUGGGGAGGGUAAUAUGGUGAAGACAAAUCAAUAAGGAACAUGAUAGAUGCAGGUUCUCUAUAUUAAAAGGUUAACACCUAGUUUAUUACAAAUUCAAUAUCAGCAAUAUCAAAGAAGAACCACGGUCUGUCAUUUUUUCGGUUUCAAAACCCUUUAUUCCAACAGAUCGGUGUGAGUUUAGUUUGCCCAUUUCAGGAUUUCUAAGGUAACACAUAUUUUAAUAUGACAACAUGUGCAGUCCAUUCUUAAUCAAUCUACCACUUUCUGAAUAGUAACAUCUCCUCUAAGACAUCUGUUCACUAUAGAUUGUACAGCUCCUCUUUGUUCCCAAC
rnacentral:lncRNA from 1 species